rnacentral:lncRNA from 1 species
AGAGAUGGGUCCCAGGUAUGGAGUAUAAGAGUUAUUGACCAGGAUGGAUGCCAGUCUAAGUGGUCCCAGUUUGCCAUGGCCAAACUGACUUCGUAUCCUCUAUCUUGUGGGGCCCACUAGAUCAGGAACAAGGGAAACCAAAGACUGGAAAGUAAGGAGGAAAGAACGGCAGAAUGCAUUGGACACGGGAGGCAGAAGAGUUAAAUAAUACUGUCUGUCUUUCUACGGAGGGCAGGAGACAAGACCGGAUCCCUAGACAAGGCUUGCCAAACUAGGUCUGAGUGAUGGGGCAGGCUUGCCUCACCCCACCCCCGGCUGCCUUCCUCACAAUGGGGCUCAUUGCUGAGGUGUCAGAGAGCAUCCUAGGGAGGGUGAAACAGGGGCCUGCCCGCCAGACACCUGCAGGGCUCCGGCCCCUUCAAGCAUGAACCUUACCAUCUGGGCUGGGCUCCACCACUCCCAGUGUGCUCUUAGCUCUGUGUGAGGCCUAGGGCCCUGGAGGACAUCUUGCAUUUCCUCCAGCAACCAUCAUGCAAGGUGGUGCUGGGAACUGCUCUUUUGCUAGGAAGUGGAGGCCUCAUGCUGUGGGCUCAGAGGAAGAAAAGGAAGGCCACCACAGAGACUACAGAAGACAAGCCUGCGGAAUCCCACAGACCAAAUGACAGCUGGAUCAAAUCCCACUUCAGCCGCCUUUCUGAAGAGAAGUUGCCCGCCUACCGCCGUGUCAGCAGCUGUGGGUACUCACCCGAAGGCAAGCAUGGGGAGGCCAAUACCACCCUCCACGUGGACACCGUUACCACCAAACACGGAGAAGGGGGCGUGGCUCUGCACCGAGAUUCCUUUGCCAGCAAACAGAAGAUAUCUGGGACCUCAGUGUCCAAAGAGAUGCAAAGGGAGUCAGGAAAGUCCCCGUCCAUGGAGAAUGACACCUGGGCUGCUGUGGCAGCUUGUACAAAGGAGAUCGACGCCAAGGGGCAUCAUGUGGCUAAUUCCGUGCUUCAGCGUUCCCCAGAGUAUCACCGUACAGGCCAUGCGGAGUCCAGGAACAUUAGCCCAGAAGAUCUGAAGGCUUUGGAGGAAGUGGAGUUAAAGCUGAAAGGGAAUUUCCUAACUCACCGUGAAACCGUCGUAGCUGGCGCCAACCAAGCACACACUGUCUAUAACCAGAGUCACCAUGGUAACCAAAGCCACCAAAACCACAAUACCUAUCCAUGCCACCAGAACAACCAGAGUCGUUCUGUUCACUACCAGGGUCAUCAUCCAAGUCACUUGAGCCACCAGGGUUAUCCAAGUUACUCAAGUCACCAGAAUCAUCCGGGCCACCCAAGCCAGCAGGGUCAUUCGAGCCAUUCAAACCAACAGGGUCAUCUGGGCCUCUCAAGCCAGCAGGGUCAUCCAAGUCAGUCAAGUCAUCAGAGUCACCAGGGUCAGCCAGGACACCCAAACCAUCAGAGCCAUAGCCUGGUCAACCGCAGAAACCAAAUUUAUGACUCUUAAAGCCACUUAACCAUGAGUCCCUUCCCCCCAGCAGGGCUGGCUCUCAUGAACAGGCCUGUUUUCUCUUCUAUGGGGAAACCUACGCGGUCAGGGUGAGAGACUGCCAACCAAACCCCUGCUUCCUCUGGCCCCAGCAGAGGUCAGGAGGGAGGGAGGAAAGGAUGCAGCUCCAACAGCCCAAGGGCCCCGGAGACCCAUGAGAGAAGACAUGAGGCAGAUUACAGGAGCAACCACAAGUCCUACACUGACUCCACAUGCCUGAAUGGAGCUAAUAAAGCCCUGCAUACCCUCACGUUGUGUCCGGGGGCUCUGUAGCCAGCUGCAUUCUGGGUAGGGUUGGAGGAGAGGGUAUGUCCGAAGCAGUUCUGGAAGUGAGCCUUGGCUGGGGGUCCUUUUUAUUGCAUCAGACUUAAGACCAGAAUGGUCUUCCCCUGGUCUGGGCUGCUAGGCCAGAGGUCUUAAAUCCAUCUGCCUAUGUUGCUAAGGAGUAGGACUCAGCCAGAGGCUUGGAAAGAGGGAUCAGGGACGGGCUUUCAGCAUCAGUCAUCCAGGUGGGACUUUAGGCCCUAUCCUCUUGGUACCAUCUUAAGUCUCCAGGGUCCAUGGGGAUCCAUGUGCCCACAGCUGUAGAGCUGUGAGACAUAUCCGGGUCGUGUCACCAUUGCUUGACUUGUGACUGUGGCUACCAAUAUUCAGACUACUUAUGGCUUCAGCUCAUGGUUUUGUUUUUGAAACUGUGUAGUUCAGACUGUCUUGGAACUCAAUGUGCAAACCAGGCUAACUCCUCUUGGAUGUCAUGGUAAGAUUUUAGAUCUGGCUUGCCUCCUAGUCCCACACAGGCCCCUGACCUCUGUUCAGUGCUUGUCUCCCUGUCCUCUUCCACUCUCCCUCUCAGCCUAUCCCUGACACACACACCCGCUGCCUCCUCUGCUCUCCCACAAGCCUGGUAUUCUCCCUGUGUCUGCCUGUCUCCUGGGCCUGAAAGAAUAAGAAAUGACCCUCUACUCCCAAGUCAAGCAGCCACUUCU